GAUGGAACGAAGCCCGUUUUCAUCUUCUGGCCCUGGACCUGGCACAUAGUGCUCCGAGAAUAUCCUCCUGCCCUACCUUCACAGAUCCUAUACUGUAGUCGGUCUAGGCAAUUGCCUUCCGUUUUUCUAGCCCUUGCUCAGACUUCCACAGACUGCAGGGCACUGGAGAUGUAGCCAUGGAUGACACAAAAUGCAGCCCUCAAGAAGCUUUUACUCUGGAGAGGAGACAGACAAUAAUCACGUGAGAAUAGAAGAGGCUGUGGUGGGAGCCAGCUAGAGAGGGGACAGUCUGCCCGGAAGGAACC